rnacentral:rRNA from 1 species
UCGCAAUGGACGAAAGUCUGACGAUGCGACGCCGUGUGAGCGAUGAAGGCCUUCGGGUUGUAAAGCUCUGUCGCCUGUGAACAAGGGUAGGUGGUGAAUAUCCAUCUACUUUGAGUGUAACAGGAAAGGAAGCACCGGCUAACUCCGUG